AGUCUACCUGCCCACUGAAUAAUUUAAAUGGCCGCAGUAUACUAACUGUGCAAAGGUAGCAUAAUCAUUAGUCUUUUAAUUGAAGGCUGGUAUGAAUGGUUGGACGAGAUAUUAACUGUUUCAUAAAAAUUUAUAAUAGAAUUUUAUUUUUUAGUCAAAAAGCUAAAAUAAAAUUAAAAGACGAGAAGACCCUAUAAAUCUUUAUAUAUAAAUUAUUAGAAUUUUGUAGAUUUUUUUUAUUAUAAUAAUUAACUAUAUUUUAUUGGGGUGAUAUUAAAAUUUAAUAAACUUUUAAUUAUUAAAAUCAUUAAUUUAUGAAUAAUUGAUCCGUUAAUAACGAUUAAAAAAAUAAGUUACUUUAGGGAUAACAGCGUAAUUUUUUUGGAGAGUUCAUAUCGAUAAAAAAGAUUGCGACCUCGAUGUUGGAUUAAGAUAUAAUUUUAGGUGUAGCCGCUUAAAUUUUAAGUCUGUUCGACUUUUAAAUUCUUAC
rnacentral:rRNA from 1 species